GAUCGGCCCGGGGCUUGAGGUUUCCCGCCGUCUGGGGAACUUCAACGGGAAGACGGUGUGCCGAACGGCAAAUCCGUCGCUGCCCCCGCAACGGUAAUCGAGUCAGCGUCGGCAACACGCCACUGGGGUCGCACCCGGGAAGGCGCCGGCGUGGGAGCGCGCUCCCGGCUCGUGAGCCCGGAGACCGGCCGAAGGCGACGACGCUAU
rnacentral:ncRNA from 2 species